UUGCUUUUUUGCUGACGAGUGGCGGACGGGUGAGUAAUGCUUGGGAAUCUGGCUUAUGGAGGGGGAUAACUGUGGGAAACUGCAGCUAAUACCGCGUAUUCUCUGAGGAGGGAAGGGUGGGACCUUAGGGCCACCUGCCAUAAGAUGAGCCCAAGUGGGAUUAGGUAGUUGGUGGGGUAAAGGCCUACCAAGCCUGCGAUCUCUAGCUGGUCUGAGAGGAUGACCAGCCACACUGGAACUGAGACACGGUCCAGACUCCUACGGGAGGCAGCAGUGGGGAAUAUUGCGCAAUGGGGGGAACCCUGACGCAGCCAUGCCGCGUGAAUGAAGAAGGCCUUCGGGUUGUAAAGUUCUUUCGGUAAUGAGGAAGGGAUGUUGUUAAAUAGAUAGCAUCAUUGACGUUAAUUACAGAAGAAGCACCGGCUAACUCCGUGCCAGCAGCCGCGGUAAUACGGAGGGUGCGAGCGUUAAUCGGAAUAACUGUGCGUAAAGGGC
rnacentral:rRNA from 1 species